AACGAACGCUGGCGGCAUGCCUAACACAUGCAAGUCGAACGAGACCUUCGGGUCUAGUGGCGCACGGGUGCGUAACGCGUGGGAACCUGCCUUUAGGUUCGGAAUAACUCAGAGAAAUUUGAGCUAAUACCGGAUGAUGUCUUCGGACCAAAGAUUUAUCGCCUUUAGAUGGGCCCGCGUUGGAUUAGCUAGUUGGUGGGGUAAAGGCCUACCAAGGCGACGAUCCAUAGCUGGUCUGAGAGGAUGAUCAGCCACACUGGGACUGAGACACGGCCCAGACUCCUACGGGAGGCAGCAGUGGGGAAUAUUGGAAAAUGGGCGAAAGCCUGAUCCAGCAAUGACGCGUGAGUGAUGAAGGCCUUAGGGUUGUAAAGCUCUUUUACCCGAGAUGAUAAUGACAGUAUCGGGAGAAUAAGCUCCGGCUAACUCCGUG
rnacentral:rRNA from 1 species